rnacentral:rRNA from 1 species
AUUGAACGCUGGCGGCAGGCCUAACACAUGCAAGUCGAGCGGUAGCACAGAGAGCUUGCUCUCGGGUGACGAGCGGCGGACGGGUGAGUAAUGUCUGGGAAACUGCCUGAUGGAGGGGGAUAACUACUGGAAACGGUAGCUAAUACCGCAGAACGUCGCAAGACCAAAGUGGGGGACCUUCGGGCCUCAUGCCAUCAGAUGGUCCCAGAUAGGAUUAGCUAGUAGGUGGGGUAACGGCUCACCUAGGCGACGAUCCCUAGCUGGUCUGAGAGGAUGACCAGCCACACUGGAACUGAGACACGGUCCAGACUCCUACGGGAGGCAGCAGUGGGGAAUAUUGCACAAUGGGCGCAAGCCUGAUGCAGCCAUGCCGCGUGUAUGAAGAAGGCCUUCGGGUUGUAAAGUACUUUCAGCGGGGAGGAAGGCGAUAAGGUUAAUAACCUUGUCGAUUGACGUUACCCGCAGAAGAAGCACCGGCUAACUCCGUGCCAGCCGCCGCCGUAA